GACGAACGCGGCGGCGUGCUUAACACAUGCAAGUCGAACGAAGAGCGACGGAAGCUUGCUUCUAUCAAUCUUAGUGGCGAACGGGUGAGUAACGCGUAAUCAACCUGCCCUUCAGAGGGGGACAACAGUUGGAAACGACUGCUAAUACCGCAUACGAUCUAAUCUCGGCAUCGAGGAUGGAUGAAAGGUGGCCUCUACAUGUAAGCUAUCACUGAAGGAGGGGAUUGCGUCUGAUUAGCUAGUUGGAGGGGUAACGGCCCACCAAGGCGAUGAUCAGUAGCCGGUCUGAGAGGAUGAACGGCCACAUUGGGACUGAGACACGGCCCAGACUCCUACGGGAGGCAGCAGUGGGGAAUCUUCCGCAAUGGACGAAAGUCUGACGGAGCAACGCCGCGUGAGUGAUGACGGCCUUCGGGUUGUAAAGCUCUGUUAAUCGGGACGAAAGGCCUUUC
rnacentral:rRNA from 1 species